rnacentral:rRNA from 1 species
UACGUAGGGUGCAAGCGUUGUCCGGAAUUAUUGGGCGUAAAGAGCUCGUAGGCGGUCUGUCGCGUCUGCUGUGAAAACUCAGGGCUUAACCCUGAGCUUGCAGUGGGUACGGGCAGACUAGAGUGCGGUAGGGGAGACUGGAAUUCCGUGGUGAUAGCGGUGAAAUGCGCAGAUAUCAGGAAGAACACCCGUGGCGAAGGCGGUUCUCUGGGACGGUACUGACGCUGGAGACGCGAAAGCGUGGGGAGCGAACAGG